rnacentral:rRNA from 1 species
CUAGCGUCAGGCCUAACACAUGCAAGUCGAACGGUAACAUAAGAGCUUGCUCUUGAUGACGAGUGGCGCACGGGUGAGUAACGCGUAUGCAAUCUACCUAUAACUGAGGGAUAGCCCAGAGAAAUUUGGAUUAAUACCUCAUAAUAAUAUUUUUUGGCAUCAUUAAAUAUUUAAAACUUCGGUGGUUAUAGAUGAGCAUGCGUUCUAUUAGUUUGUUGGUGAGGUAAUGGCUCACCAAGACUACGAUAGAUAGGGGGCCUGAAAGGGUGAUCCCCCACACUGGUACUGAGACACGGACCAGACUCCUACGGGAGGCAGCAGUGAGGAAUAUUGCGCAAUGGACGAAAGUCUGACGCAGCCAUGCCGCGUGAAGGAUGACGGCGCUACGCGUUGUAAACUUCUUUUAUAUACCAAGAAACCUUCGGACGUGUCCGAAGCUGACGGUAGUAUAUGAAUAAGCACCGGCUAACUCCGUGCCAGCAGCCGCGGUAAUACGGAGGGUGCAAGCGUUAUCCGGAUUUAUUGGGUUUAAAGGGUCCGUAGGCGGAUCAUUAAGUCAGUGGUGAAAUCCGACAGCUCAACUGUCGAACUGCCAUUGAUACUGAUGAUCUUGAGUACGGUUGAAGUAGGCGGAAUAUGACAUGUAGCGGUGAAAUGCUUAGAUAUGUCAUGGAACACCGAUUGCGAAGGCAGCCUACUAAGCCGUUACUGACGCUGAGGGACGAAAGUGUGGGGAGCGAACAGGAUUAGAUACCCUGGUAGUCCACACCGUAAACGAUGAUUACUCGGUAUUGGCUUUAUUGUCAGUGCCCAAGCGAAAGUGAUAAGUAAUCCACCUGGGGAGUACGGCCGCAAGGUUGAAACUCAAAGGAAUUGACGGGGGCCCGCACAAGCGGUGGAGCAUGUGGUUUAAUUCGAUGAUACGCGAGGAACCUUACCAGGGCUUAAAUGUAGAACGACCGGGGUGGAAACACCCCCUUUUUCGAACGGUCUACAAGGUGCUGCAUGGUUGUCGUCAGCUCGUGCCGUGAGGUGUCGGGUUAAGUCCCAUAACGAGCGCAACCCCUAUUUCUAGUUGCCCGCGGUUCGGCCGCGGCGUAUCGAGCUACUGUCAGCGUCUGGUGCGUGUAGGGUGGGGACGUGUCGC